CAUUAAAUUUCACAUAGGGCUGGACAGCUAUGUGUACAAGAUGCUACCUGUAGGAAUUGGGUUUUUCCCAGAUAUGAAGGGGGAAUACACAGAAAGGAAGAAAUGCGUAUGUGCAUGCAGGUUUGGGCACAUGCAUAUGAAACCUGGAGGGAUUCUCUUUGGAUCCACAGUCCAAAUGGACUUCCAAGAAGGAGCUGGUAUGACCACAUGCUUCUUCCAUUGUGCCACAUGCAGCCCAUCUUGAUCAGCCAGGUUCUCAGGAGACUGAUCAGCACCUGCUGUAGCUCUGGCCAAAGCUGUUUUUGGGACCAUGUGAAGGACAGAAAACUAAAAUGUGGGCACAAAAGCAUCUAAGACUUGCAGCAGAGUUGAGUCUCCUACCACUUUCUGUGAGUCUGCUGAAUACUUUUCAGUAUGGGAGCAUCCUUUCCAACACACAAGUCAGGAACUGCUGAGAUACAUCACGGUGCAAGCUUGAUCCAAAAUUGAUGUUAACCAUUGACUGUCAACUGAAGACUUCUAUGUGCCACUCACUGUGCUAAGCACCAUCUCAUUUAAUCCUCACAACAGUCCUUCAAGGGCUCUAGGUUUGCCUCUGAGAGGAGAGGGAGGUGGAAUAUACUUUACCCCCUGCAACCUGCUGAAGAAAUGUGCUCCUGAGGCCAGAAAAUCAAGUAAGCCCAUCUGGCUUAGACAGCUCAGCAGCGUGAAGAUCAAAGUCACGUCCUCAGGUCUGUGCUCCUCAAUGGCAUUAACUCUACUUGCAUGCUCCUAUGGAUGAGGAAGGACAUCAUCCCUUACUGAGUGUAUCUGUCCACAGGAGAAAUCAGUGGAAGAGUCCUUAGCAGAGUCUACAAAGUCAUUUCUUUGCCAGAAACCUCCCACAAUGAAUCACAUCCAUUGGAUACUCUCAGGUGCAUGGGUGGCACAGCAUGGAAGGUAGAAGAAACUCAGAUUUCAGAGUCUUGAGAUCAUCCCCAGGGCUGCUCCAGUGACCUUGACUCCUGAUCCAAUGACCAGAGAAUCUUGGCAGUGGCGACAGCCAGUUUUUUCCACUGGUAUUUAGAAAUGUGAUGAAUUGGAAACAAACUGCAGGCUCAACAGCUUGGAGCUGGUUAAAUGAUUUUGGGUUCAUGCAGCCAGUACAACAAAUCACAAAUCUAUCUUUUCUACACCCGAUAUUAGAUUGAAACAACUGAGCAGAUCCUUUCUGCAGUUACAGUUCCUCAGAAUGGAAUGUGCAGAAUUUAAGUCAAAAUAUGCCAAAAUGUUAGCAAUUAAUUCUUGGUUGUUAUAUGUAAGGAGUAUUAUUUCUUAUUUUUCAUAUUUCCAAUGUACAAACAUGUGAUUUUAUUAUAAAAAACAUUUAUAAGGAGUAGUCUUUUAGAUCAAGAACAAGAGCAUAAAUAUGGGCAUAGAGAGAGUGGAAGAAAAUCAAGCAAAAUGAUACCUUUGGAUGGUAGCCUCAGAAUUUUUUGCCUCCCAUCUUUAUAGUUUUUGAAUUUUCUAUAUUUACUUUUAUAAUAGGCAUUCCUAUUUAAGAUAAUUUUUUUUAAAAAAUUGGUGGAAUGGGAGAGUGGCCAGUUUCUGAGAAGACAAAGCUUUGGGCUCCCCAAAAGCCCUUUCAUGUCAAUUGGUUGAUAUUUUCUGAGCCUAUAAACUAUGCACGUCAUUUGGGCCCAGAGAAGUAGGGGUGAGAAAGCUGAAGGAGAUGCAAGCACUUUAAUCAGAUCACAAUCCAUCAGGGGACAUAAGAGCUCUCAUUAUACAGCUCAAAUUGCAAGGUCUUAAUCCUAGAAGUGUAUCUGUUAAGAGUAUAGUAAUAGGGCUGGGGAUUUAGCUCAGUGGCACAGUGUCUGCCUCACAACCACAAGGUCCUGAGUUCGAGCCCCGGUACAAAAAAAAAAGGUGACAAUAUACUGAGCGGAGCUGCAUCACCUGGGAAGAAACUCACCUGCAUUUCUUAAUCAUGCUGGAUCUGACCCUCAGCUUGCUUUUCUGUAACUGUAAACUGCCUCAUAAUGUCCUUGUGAGGGCUAAGUGAAGCCUGUGCGUGAAGGGCUGGGCAAGGCUACCUUCACCAUGAAUCACAUUAUCAUUACUGUGUCUCAGGUUUUGGGGCCAGCUAUCCAUAAGCUGUGUUUUCCAAGAUGUCGCUGGCAUUUGGACUCACCUUUAUCCAACUCCCAAGCCAUUGAUUCUACCCAAAUCAGGCACUGCAUUCACUCCACACCAAACUGAAAUUUGUUGUAAACCUCACUAUUUUCUUAUGAUCUUGCCAGGAAAAAAAGCCAAAUUUCUAUUCAAAGAUCAGAGGCGAAAUGAAUUUGGUUCAAAGAACAUGAGAGGAGGAAAGAUGCAGGAUGCCGUAGUGUCACCUGCACUGUUGCCAAGAAUCUUGCUGCAGAAGAUUCACCCUGAAGCCUGUGUUGGUAACACAGCAUUGCUUGGCUUGUCCUUAACUGUGAAUGUGUCAGGAUUUCCCUCCUAACCACUUGUGUUAGUUUGCUCUGGUUGGAGGGCAGACUGUCAUGGAUGGAAAGCAAAAGGAAGUAUAGGGCUGGGGAUUUAGCUCAGUGGUUUUGCUGUCUGCUGCGCAAGCGCAAGAACCCAAGUUCAGUCCCUGUUACCAAAAAAGGACGUAUAAAGAAGGGCCAGUGUGUUUAAAAAGAACCUAAACACCUGGACAACCAAUGCCAAGAGGUGUGAGACACAGGUUAGAAUUGGAAGUCUAAAAAAACGGAGUCAAAAGCAAUGGAGAUCUAGAAAAAGGGACAAGGAAAACCAAAAGCACAGCGGAAAUUCUUUUUAGGGAUAUCCAUGUCAUUCAGAAAAGUUACCUCCUUGAAAAGAGUGUUAAUAUCAGUGGUUUUCCCCCUGUCUCUCCAGUCAUCUGUUUUUUAAGGGCUCUACCUAAACUCACCUGUAACCCAUCCUGUCCCACCUCCUCUUCACACUAGGCAUUAGGAGUACAAAUACUUUAUUAAGAGAAAUCAGACACACAAGCUUAAAUAUUGGAUCAUUUCUCUUAUAUGAGAAACCCAAGAUAUAAAUAAAGAACAAAAUAAAAGAUAAUAGGAAAUAGGGAGAUGGAGCUUUCACAAUGGGAAGGGAACCUGGAGAUCGGAAGGGGGGUGGUAAAAAGAAUUAAAAUGUCUUAUGUCCAUGUACCAGCUCCACAUGGUGAAUAUAAUUAUUAUGUACUGCAAACAUCUAAUAAAAUUUUUAAGAAUUAAUAAAAAAAGCCAGUGCAGAUAAGAGCACAGGAGAGCUGUGUGCUUGAAUAAGGAAGAAGAAUACAUAAGCAUAUCAGGGACAAGUACAGUGCUCAAGACUGGUAUGAAGUGAAGUGGCUAAUGGGACAGGUAGGCAGAAAAGACUUUCCAGGGGAGCCAGGACUUGAGCUCAGUCCUCAAGGACAGUACAAGCAUGUUCCUGUGGCCCUGAGAGAGGAAUUGGUUUCAGGCACCUGCAGAAAGAGGCUGCAGGGAGCAUGAGAAUGCCAUGGGCCUUUGGUGUGCUUGGUAGAUGGCACUGGUUGGAUCAUAGGUAUUUAUAGAGAAGACUUGGUACAAUAAGGCUACCAUGCAAGUGGGACAACCCCCAGAAGUUGGCUGACAAGCUGAAGGACCUAUCCUGAAAGUAGUGGCAAGGGGAAGAGGUGGCAUUUGAUUUGUUCCCUGGCAGUGAGUUUCUUCUAUGCUCAGGAGUUGAGCCACCUUGGGCAAUAUGGAGGUCAAGCCUCUUAUCCUCUCUGUCAGAGCUUCAGUUUAGAGAGAAGAAUUAGUCCAGAUUUAUCAUUUAUCAGAUGACUUUGGAACAGCACAUAAUUGAAUCUUGAGAAAAGUCUACUCAUGCAUCCGUUUCUUCAUUCACUCAUUUAGAUUGGUUCUUAGGCAUCCAAUAUUUUAUGUUCAGUACUGCUGAAAUUUCUUUGGGGGCUACACAAUUUAGUAGGAGUUGCCUCUAAUUUCAAGAACCUUCAAGUCAGAGUAAAGGAGAGAUGACUACUAAUUCCACAGUGUUAACCCACCAACUAAGCUCUUUAUCUCAUCUCCUAAGACUCCUUUAACCCCUUCAAUAGAUUUCCCAUCUCUCAUGGGAAAAAUGUGAACUCUUAUCUAAAACUAAUUGUCUCUCUAUGGGAAACCUUUAUUUGUCUCCUAAAACUCAUCUCCUACCACUCCUUACCUUUUUCUGCUCUAGCCCACUGCCUUUUCUUUCAUUAGAUUCUCUUCCACCACAGGUCUGUAGCACAUGCUGCUCCUUCAGCCCAAGCCAUCUUCUCUGGUUCAUGCCUACUUAUUCUGUAAGCUCAGAUGAAUAAUUCUGUGGGAAAGGUUUCUCAGUCCAUCUGAAUUGACCAAGUCUUUAUUACACACUCUUCUACUCCAUCUAAUAUCACUCACAGGCCUUUUCCCAGUUAUAAUUAUUUUUCAUUUAUUUACACAAUAACUAUAUUAACAUCUACAUUUUCUACCAGAUCAAAAGUCCCAUAAAAGCAAGCACUGUUUUUAUAAUAAUUGCCAGAGUAUAAUUUAUUUAUAAUGUGCACACACAUUUUAGAUGUACCUUUCAGUGAAUAUUGGCAUAUUUAUGCAAAAGCUUAUAUACAUGUUUAUUACUAAAACUGCAUAUGGAACACUUCCAUCCCUCUAAAAUUAUGCUGUGCUUCAGGCAGCCACUCAUAUGCCUUUUGUCCUUAUAGAUUGGAUGUCUUUUCUAUAGUUUGAUAUAAAUAGAAUCAUAUGGCCAGAAUCCCUUAUGUUUGGCUUCUCCCACCCAGCAUAAUGUUUUUGAGUCAUCUAUGCAGUGUGUCAUCAUAGUCUGUUCUUUUUAAUAGCUGACUGAUGCCAUUCUCAUUGGUUCAUUGGAGUUACCACUCUCUCUUCAUACAGCCUUCAGCUUCUUAAGGCAGGAGCCACAUUUCCUAAUACUUCCAGUACUUGGUAUAGAUCUAGACAUAUAAGUGGCCUUUGAAAGGGAUAUAGUCCGUCUUCCCUGAUUCAGGGCAUGUAAGUGAUCAUUCUACUCACACUUAGUAGUCAUCCUGCCAUCACAGGCUUCCUUUGCAUACUUCACUAGUUAAGCAUCUGGGUCCAGGAUACCUAAGCAUACUUGCCUUCCUUUAGUACCACUCUGAUGCUUCCCAGAGCCAGAGAGAGGUCCUGGGUCAACCUUGGUGGUGAGGCCCAUGAUGAUAGGCAAAUCCCUUUAACAUUUUGAACUUGGACUUCCUUGUCUAUUGAAUGGAGAUACUGAUAUGUAUCUCAAGGGUCAUAAAGUGAACUCAGGUGUAUGAAAGUGCUGUGUGAAGUAGAAAAUGCAAUACUGUACAGUGAAAGUUAAUUCCAUCAUUUAAUUGCACUUCAUCCUGGAUUAACUGGCUGUGUUACCUGAGACAUGUAGACCUUCAGUUUCUUUCCUAUCAGAUGAGGGUUGAACUAGUGUCCUCCAAGGUGCCUUUCAUCUUGGACCCUCCUAUUCUAGGGCCCUGGAACACUAGAAACAGAGCCUAUCUGAUUCUCCAGCAUGGGAAAAAUUGGGGAGAAACAAACAGUUUCUCUGAAAAUUCUCUUCCUGAGUAAAGGAAGCCAGCUCUAGUUUCCAGAACAAGCCAGUGUUUUUGCAUCAAUAGAUUUAACUCUGUAGCUAUUUCCAAAAACAUUAGGGAAAAUAACAGAGCUCCUGAUUUCCAGGUGCGCUUACUGGUGCUAUGAAGCAUGUCCUUUGCUGGGAACUGAUCUUUGAUAGGGAUAAAUGUGUCCAAGUUACUUUAGAGCAGGAAGUAUUCCUUUUUUUUGGUACUAGGGAUCGAACUCAGGACCUGGCACUUGUGAGGCAGGCAGUGGCACCACUGAGCUAAAUCCCCAGCCCAAGUGUUCCAUUUUUUAAGCCAGUAAUUUAGUUAAGUCCACCUCCAGAUGAGCCCUGUCAUUCAGGCAACAGAGGAUUUCUAAGUACCUACUGUGCGGUAAGUGAUAUAUAUAUAUAGUCAUCCCCAAUAGCUUUGUGAUAGAGGUAGUAAGUUCAUCCCAUGUGGCUUGACAUGUGCCCUCAGUUGGUAAAUGGCCAAGUCAGGGCUAGAAUCAUUGGUCCUUCCCACUGUGACAGGCCCUGGAUUAGCCCCGGGUGGUACAAAGAUAAUUCAUGUACACUUGAAUUCUGUAUGGCCAGGAAGAGAAGGCAACAGCUUCAUCUUUACAAGAGGUAAAUCCAAGAAUGUCAAGAUGCUAGAAAUUUCCCAUCAAGUUCAACUCCUUGACUUUAACAAUGAACAAAUGGAGGUCGCCAGACCUUCUCAUCUGCCUGGGACACAGUGGCAGUCCAGGAAACUGGAACUGUUACCCAAAAUUUCAAUUCCCAGCUUAGAGAUUUUCACACUACAGCAUAUCAUAGGGCAGAGUGGGGACUGCUGCCAGAAACAGGGAAGUGAAGAAUUUUUUUAAAAGGCUAUUUCCAAGUCUCCUGUCCCCUGUGUCCCAAGUUCAAAGUAAAGAGUAUUGGGAAGAGUCAGUGGAGAUGUUCAAUAACUACCAUUUUAAAUGAGCACAAUGCCGUGUUCUUUUCCUGUUAUCUCCUGUAGGACCAAGGACAAAUUUCAGUAGAAGAAUUUUGUGAGAUUCUCAUUCCUCGUAAACCCUCAGUUAAGACUGUAUGGAACCUUCACUCAGUAAGAAGCAACUUCUAAAAAAAAAA